rnacentral:rRNA from 1 species
GAUGAACGCGGGCGGCGUGUCUAAUACAUGCAAGUCGAUCGGAUGGACUAGAAGCUUGCUUCUCUGUUUUUAGCGGCGGACGGGUGAGUAACACGUGGAUAACCUACCUAUAACUCGGGGAUAACUUCGGGAACCCGGAUCUAAGACCGUGUAAUAUAUUUAACCGCAUGGUUCCAUAGUGAAAGACGCUUUUUCUGUCUCUUAUAGAUGGAUCCGCGCCGCAUUAGUUAGUUGGUAAGGUAACGGCUUACCAAGGCAACGAUGCCUAACCGACUUGAGCGGGUGAACGGCGACCCUGUGACCGAGACACGGCCAAGACUCCCAGGUGAGACAGCAGUAGGGAAACCACGAAAAUCGGCGAACGGGUGACGAUACAACGCCACGGGCGGGAUGACAGGCGACGAGUCGUAUAACUCUGUUAUGAGGGUAACACAAUUGUGUAAGUACCUAGGCCAGUCUUGACGGUACCUACGCAGAAAGCCCCGGCUAACUCCGUG